AGGGGGUGCUGGGCCCCCUCGGUGAGACCUGUGCCCCCGGGGGACCCCGCUGUCUGACAGGGCUCAACUGUGCUCCCCCAUCCUCCCCGCCCACACCUGGCCUGUGAGAAUCUUACCACGCGGGUCAAAGUUCAUUUUCCAUCAGAGUGGGAUUGGCUUUCUGAAAAGCUACCCUCACGGUCCGGCCCUCGGCGUCUAGUAUUUUUACAUUCUUGUGGGUUUUAUCACUAAGAAGAUCGGGUCCUGAGGCUCACGGUGGAGCCCGGUGCGCUCGGCCCUCUUCCCCGCCCGCCAGCGCCGUGCGUGUCGGCAUCCAAAGCAAACAGACACCAGCCUUGAGCAUUCCCUGAGCAAACAACCCCAGCUUGGUCAUGCAAACAGAUUAACUCUGCAAGACUAGCUUGACCUCGGUCACCUCUCCCAUGUGCCCCCGGAAAUCGUGAGCCAAACUCACAGUGUUUCCCAAAAGUUGGUAGGAGGUACCCACUAACCAAUUCUCUGGCAUUUAAGACAAUUCUAAUGUGGUAACCACUUACUGGGAGCGGGGACCUCGCCCCUCCUCAGCACCCGAGCCCCCCCCUUGUUUUCGUUUAAGGGCUCCUGGUCUGCAAUCCGUCUUUUUGGUGUAUGUCCCGCAAACUUCUAGUAACUACUGCUUCAGAGAUUGACCGCGCCUUUGACAGUGUUGCCCAAGGAACGUUGGUUGGGGUCGUUUUGGAAUCGGGGCGAUGCCCCACCCGGCCACGGAUGUAUUAAGACCCAGAGAAAUGCUCUUAGCGAUUCUGCUGCCGGUGGCCUUGGGGCGGCUCCGAGCGCCCGCUCUCCCCACUCCCGUCUCCAGGGUCGCUGCAGCAGAGGCUCUGUCCGUGAGCCCGCCGGGUUUUCUGGACUCGUAGGACGGGGGACAGUCCCACCAGUUUUCAGUCACAGGUCUGUA
rnacentral:lncRNA from 1 species